GGUAAAAUGGCUGAGUGCCAAGCGGUGGAUUGUAGCCCCAUGAACAGAGGUUUAAAUCCUCUUUUUACCA
rnacentral:tRNA from 1 species